CACAACUCAAAUUUCCUCCUUCUAGAUAAUCUUGAAUAUGAAGUUCUUCUAGCUUCUAUCACUCUAUCCCUUGAAAAUGAUGGAUUAUAAGUCCUUUUCAUCUCCAAGAUCACCAAAAGAUGAUGUCCCACUCACCGAUCCCUCUAUUGAUCUCACUUUUUCUACCCGAGCUUUCCUUUUUAAUAAUAUCAAAUUGAUUCUCUAUGAGGAAUAACUCAACCUUGUUAGGUUACCCACAAUCAUUUUCAUUGAUGAUAUUGGUAUUUCUUACCUUGGUGGCUUAUAUAAAAUUCCUAAUGAGGCUACAAGUAUUGAUGAUUCUUCUUCUUUUGUUAAGUAUGAGUCGGAGGUUGUGGUGUUGGAAGUGUCUAGGGUUAAUGUUCAAGGAUAACAUGUUGUUAUUGAGAAUCUAAAACAGAGGGAGCCAUAGAGGAUGCACCUUGUGAGGGGGAGCCAUUGGGAGACCUUGCAUUUGACUUGAUUCGACUAUUAAACUCAACUUGGGUGCAUUUUGUAAGGGGAAUCACUAAGAGACUGCUCAGUUGAACCAAGUUCCUCUACCGGGCUCCAAUUAGACAAGGAUCUAAACUUGCUAUAUGAUGUUACUGAGUCUAGGGGUGAGAUGAAGAUAGCUUACCACUAAAGGAAUAGGUCGCUGCUACUUGUUCAUCUAUUUAAGCUAAAAUUGAUGAAUACAUUCCCAUAAUUAACAUCGUCACCACAAGGGCCAGUCUCACCUCAGGAAGGCCACAAUAAAGACUAUGAAAAUCCCUACUGAGGAAUCCAUAAAUGAUCCGCCUUUCCAAUAUUUUCCAGUUAGGGUGACUAGAUUGUAAAAAAGGCACUGGAUGAGGGCUUAAUUACCAUGUCUGCUUAGAAACCUCAUCCCCACAAGUUCUCAUUUGUUCCUCCUUCCAAUUAUAUUGAAAUCUUAGAUGAGGAAGUUGAGUAUGCUGAGUGAAAGACAAAGUGAAAAACUUUGAUGCCUUUCAAAUAAUCAAUGAAAUAGGACAAGCAGCCUGUACCUUCCAAGGUUUUUAUACAGUCUACACUAGUCGAUGAACCCACUGAUAGCGAGGAUGGUGAUGAGGGAGAGCCUUCCUGUAAAUAUCUUAGGUAGAGGACACUAAUGAUAAGGUUCUUUUGGGUGAUACGGAGGAUGAGAUUCACAACUAUAAGGACAUAAAGGACACCUUGGAUACUUGUACUGCUAUAAUAGUUAAUUUUGGUAAGACAAUGGUAAAAAUGCUAUUAGAUUUGGUAUAAUGUAAAUGGGUGAAUUAAUCCUUCUCAUUCGUGCACAAUGUAGGUCAAAAAUGUUCCUUCAAUAGGAUAAAAAGGGAAAAUGUGUAGGGUAAAGAAUAGGAAAUUCUAAAUCAAUGCUUUUGGUUCCUCUUCCUCCAUCUCUAGUAUGGUUAUGGAUGUUAUCAUUAAUCUUACCUUAGAACUACUGGCUUAAGUCUUGAGGGUUCCUAGUGAUGGUUGGUGUCAUUAUGUGAAGAGAUGUUGGCCUCCACUAAAUUUGAUGCCCUCAACACUGGAC
rnacentral:lncRNA from 1 species